rnacentral:rRNA from 1 species
GACGAACGCUGGCGGCGUGCCUAAUACAUGCAAGUAGAACGCACAGUUUAUACCGUAGCUUGCUACACCAUAGACUGUGAGUUGCGAACGGGUGAGUAACGCGUAGGUAACCUGCCUGGUAGCGGGGGAUAACUAUUGGAAACGAUAGCUAAUACCGCAUAAUAUUGAUUAUUGCAUGAUAAUUGAUUGAAAGAUGCUAUUGCAUCACUACCAGAUGGACCUGCGUUGUAUUAGCUAGUAGGUGAGGUAACGGCUCACCUAGGCGACGAUACAUAGCCGACCUGAGAGGGUGAUCGGCCACACUGGGACUGAGACACGGCCCGGACUCCUACGGGAGGCAGCAGUAGGGAAUCGUCGGCAAUGGACGAAAGUCUGACCGAGCAACGCCGCGUGAGUGAAGAAGGUUUUCGGAUCGUAAAGCUCUGUUGUAAGAGAAGAACGGGUGUGAGAGUGGAAAGUUCACACUGUGACGGUAUCUUACCAGAAAGGGACGGCUAACUACGUG